GGAAGGAUCAUUACUGAAUUGUCAAACGGGCUGUUGCUGGUCCUCGAACGGGGACAUGUGCACGCUCUGUUUACACAUCCACUCACACCUGUGCACCCUCUGUAGUUUUACGGUCUGGGGGACCCUGUCUUCCUUCCGUAGUUCUACGUCUUUACACACACACACUGUGAUAAAGUCUUAUGGAAUGUAUGCCGCGUCUAACGCAACACAAUACAACUUUCAGCAACGGAUCUCUUGGCUCUCGCAUCGAUGAAGAACGCAGCGAAAUGCGAUAAGUAAUGUGAAUUGCAGAAUUCAGUGAAUCAUCGAAUCUUUGAACGCACCUUGCGCCCCUUGGAUAUUCCGAGGGGCAUGCCUGUUUGAGUAUCAUGAACACCUCAACUCUCAUGGUUUGCCGUGAUGAGCUUGGACCUUGGGGGUUUUGCUGGCCUGUGGUCGGCUCCUCUCAAAUGAAUCAGCCUCCCAGUGUUUGGUGGCAUCACGAGUGUGAUAACUAUCUACGCUCGCGGUUUUCCACCAGGUAACCUUUGGUGACAAAGGUUCGCUGGAGCUCACAGAUGUCUCUCCUCAGCGAGGACAGCUUUUUAACGUUCGAUCUC
rnacentral:rRNA from 1 species